UACGAGGGGGGCUAAUGUUGUUCGGAAUCACUGGGCGUAAAGGGAGCGUAGGCGGGUGUUUAAGUUAGGUGUUUAAUCCCAGGGCCCAACCCUGGUCAGGCACCUAAAACUGGACAUCUUGAAUAGUGGAGAGGACGAUGGAAUUGGGGGUGUAGCGGUGGAAUGCGUAGAGAUCCCCAAGAACACCAGUUGCGAAGGCGGUCGUCUGGACACAUAUUGACGCUGAGGAGCGAAAGCGUGGGGAGCGAACAGG
rnacentral:rRNA from 1 species